rnacentral:rRNA from 1 species
GGGUUGUGAGGUUAAGCGACUAAGCGUACACGGUGGAUGCCCUGGCAGUCAGAGGCGAUGAAGGACGUGCUAAUCUGCGAUAAGCGCCGGUAAGGUGAUAUGAACCGUUAUAACCGGCGAUUUCCGAAUGGGGAAACCCAGUGCAAUUCGUUGCACUAUCGUUAACUGAAUCCAUAGGUUAACGAGGCGAACCGGGGGAACUGAAACAUCUAAGUACCCCGAGGAAAAGAAAUCAACCGAGAUUCCCCCAGUAGCGGCGAGCGAACGGGGAGGAGCCCAGAGCCUGAAUCAGCAUGUGUGUUAGUGGAAGCGUCUGGAAAGGCGCGCGAUACAGGGUGACAGCCCCGUACACAAAAGCGCAUGUGCUGUGAGCUCGAUGAGUAGGGCGGGACACGUGGUAUCCUGUCUGAAUAUGGGGGGACCAUCCUCCAAGGCUAAAUACUCCUGACUGACCGAUAGUGAACCAGUACCGUGAGGGAAAGGCGAAAAGAACCCCGGCGAGGGGAGUGAAAAAGAACCUGAAACCGUGUACGUACAAGCAGUGGGAGCCCCACCACUAAGCCAGUGGUGAACUCCACAUACGCAUCCUUUGCUGAGGAUACGGUUAACGGAGCGAAAGCGACGUUCAACCUCAAAAGAAGCAGAGGGGGCUUAGUGGUGGGGUGACUGCGUACCUUUUGUAUAAUGGGUCAGCGACUUAUAUUCUGUAGCAAGGUUAACCGUAUAGGGGAGCCG